CUGGGAAAUGUAGUAUAUAGCUGGAGAUAUCAUUGCCCUAAAUAAAAAUAGGACUCUUACCAAGAAGGGAGAGGAGAAUGGAUAUUGGGUGGCAUCACAGUCUCUCACACCUGAGCAUCUGAUUCUGUCAGAAGUUAAAUGAUGACUUCUCCUGUGGAUCCCUGGGUUCUUAUGAAGCAUGAGUAUAAUACAAGAUGUCAACAGGUAUUGCAAAGAUACUUGUGGAGCACCCCCAUGUUUGAGGAGCUGUGCGAGGCCUUGGAGUUGAAGCCGUGAGUAGAAAGACAAAGGCUCGGGCUCAGGAGCUUAUAUUCUAGUGAGAAGAGUGACAAUGAAGAUGCAGCUGCCAGGAUCUACCACAACCUGUACAGGAUGUUUUGGGACAGCGACUUGGAGCAGCAUUUGGUGGGAGAGGACGGAAGCUGCGAGACGUCAGCUCUGAGCCCUGAGUCCAGGGCUGGUCCUGUGGAGACAGGGGUUGCUAUGGCAUGAGCAGUGUGUGUGUGAGUAUGAGGUGUUGGGGGAAAGGUAGUAAGAAGCUGAGAAAAUGCCUCAAGCUGACCUCUCCCAAGGGAGCUGGAGCCAUGAGUACCUGGGCAACCUGAGGUGAACACUCCUUGCUCUGUGGGUCUCUAGUAUCUAACAAUAAGACCCCACCUGCACCUAUUGAUACACCUCAGGGUGAGAGGCAAAGAAACAUCACUGGGAAACUACAGACAUGCAAUCAGGACUUUUUUCUAAUGUAAAGAGAACUUAGGGUCAGGAUUCAGGGAUCAAAUCUAGCUUCCUUGUUUGGCCUCUCUGAGUCUUUGUCCCUUUGCCUCUAAAAUUGAGUAUUUCCUUGCCUUAUCUGAGCUUAUGUAAGGGCUAAAUGGGACAUGCUAUACCAAAAACAAUUUAUGGAGACCCAGUUCACUAUAAGAGUACAAUGCAU